ensembl:rRNA 5S_rRNA 5S ribosomal RNA
UAUCUAGGCCAUACCACCCUGAAUGCGCCCAAUCUCGUCUGAUCUCGGAAGCUAAGCAGGGUCAGACCUGGUUAGUACUUGGAUGGGAGAAAAGCACACAUUACUUUUGAAGAAGAAUAUAAGAGAGGAUAG